AUUUUAACACUCCUCCCUCUCUCUCUCUCACUCCCCUUGGAGAGAGUUCUUUCCUCUGGUUCUUUCUUUCUUCUUGGAGCUAAGUCUCCUCCCUUUGCCGGCGCCGUUCGGCUUCCCUCCAUUCCUUCUGGGCAUAUGAGGGCGUCCUCCUCUACCCGGUUUGUGGGUUAACCCCUCCCUCACCGGGUAGAACUGUAAAUAUUUUUAGUUUUUAUUUCUUCUUAAUUUUUCUAAGAUCAGUACUUUCAUAGAUCCGAAGUCUAUCUUGAGGAGAAAUCUUUGAGAGAUCUGCUGGUUUCCUCAGUCUCCUCUGCAAGCGACGCCAGAUCUAUCACUAGAGGCCGCUGCUGGAUCGUUUGUCUUGUUGUUAUUUAGUAUGUUCUUAGAUCUAUCUCUGCCAUGUGAGGGUUGUGUUUUAGUGUUGAUGUGGAGCAUCUCGAGGUCUUUAGUUAUAUUUUCAUCCUUCUGGAAAGCGGACCUAUUAGGUGCAUGGGGACGCCGUUUGGACUUGUUCUACGUCUCUUCUCUUGGCCUGACGACGACCUUGGCUGUAUGGUUUUAUUGAGAUAUUGAAGUCUGAAUUCUGGUUUCUAAGAGCUCAAUGGGUUUUGGUCCUUUUCUUCAGACAUUUUGUCUAUCUAUUGGUGACCAGUUGCACUUUCUCAGUGUGAGGUCUCUUCGGCGACAUCCCUGAGUCUUUUGUUCUUCUCCAGCAAGCUUGCAUUCUUUGUUUGGGCCUUGGGCCUUUAAGUGUAGCUUGUUAGCCCGUCAGAUUUUUUUUCUUUUAAGAUCUCUAUUGUUAUGAGCAUCCUUUAUAGACGAGAGAGACAUCCCUUUCUUUCUUGCUGGGUCUCUCACGCGCUCUCCCUCUCCAUACAGGAUCACAUGUAUUUUGGUGGGUUUGAUUGGCAGAUCCAGAAGUUUACAGCGAGGGUUUUCAGUGAUAUGGUCAGAUUAAUUUUUCUCCACAAGCGAUGAUCAUUUGAUAUGCUGUACUCUCCCUAUCAAUGAAACUACAAUUAUUUGUGACCCCAAAA